GAUGAACGCUGGCGGCGUGCCUAAUACAUGCAAGUCGAGCGAACAGACGAGGAGCUUGCUCCUCUGACGUUAGCGGCGGACGGGUGAGUAACACGUGGAUAACCUACCUAUCAGACUGGGAUAACUUCGGGAAACCGGCGCUAAUACCGGAUAAUAUAUUGAACCGCAUGGUUCAAUAGUGAAAGACGGUUUUGCUGUCACUUAUAGCUGGAUCCGCGCCGCAUUAGCUAGUUGGUAAGGUAACGGCUUACCAAGGCAACGAUGCGUAGCCGACCGGAGAGAGUGAUCGGCCACACUGGAACUGAGACACGGUCCAGACUCCUACGGGAGGCAGCAGUAGGGAAUCUUCCGCAAUGGGCGGAAGCUUGACGGAGCAACGCGGCGUGAGUGAUGAAGGUCUUCGGAUCGGAAAACUCUGUUAUUAGGGAAGAACAAAUGUGUAAGGAACUAUGCACGUCUUGACGGUACCUAAUCAGAAAGCCACGGCUAACUACGUG
rnacentral:rRNA from 1 species